UACGAAGGACCCAAGCGUUAUCCGGAUUUAUUGGGUUUAAAGGGUGCGUAGGCAGGUUAUUAAGUCAGUGGUGAAAGCCUACAGCUUAACUGUAGAAUUGCCAUUGAUACUGAUGAUCUUGAGUAUGAUUGAGGUGGGCGGAAUGUGUCAUGUAGCGGUGAAAUGCUUAGAUAUGACACAGAACACCGAUUGCGAAGGCAGCUCACUAAGCCAUAACUGACGCUGAUGCACGAAAGCGUGGGGAGCAAACAGG
rnacentral:rRNA from 1 species